UACGAAGGGGGCUAGCGUUGUUCGGAUUUACUGGGCGUAAAGCGCACGUAGGCGGAUCGAUCAGUCAGGGGUGAAAUCCCAGAGCUCAACUCUGGAACUGCCUUUGAUACUGUCGAUCUGGAGUAUGGAAGAGGUGAGUGGAAUUCCGAGUGUAGAGGUGAAAUUCGUAGAUAUUCGGAGGAACACCAGUGGCGAAGGCGGCUCACUGGUCCAUACUGACGCUGAGGUGCGAAAGCGUGGGGAGCAAACAGG
rnacentral:rRNA from 1 species